AGCGAACGCUGGCGGCAGGCCUAACACAUGCAAGUCGAACGGGCAUCUUCGGAUUUCUGUGGCAGACGGGUGAGUAACACGUGGGAACGUACCCUUCGUUUCGGAAUAACUUAGGGAUACUUGAUCUAAUACCGUAUACUCCCUUUUGGGGAAAGUUUUACUGCCGAAGGAUCGGCCCGCGUCUGAUUAGCUUGUUGGUGGGGUAACGGCCUACCAAGGCGACGAUCAGUAGCUGGUCUGAGAGGAUGAUCAGCCACACUGGGACUGAGACACGGCCCAGACUCCUACGGGAGGCAGCAGUGGGGAAUAUUGGACAAUGGGCGCAAGCCUGAUCCAGCCAUGCCGCGUGAGUGAUGAAGGCCUUAGGGUUGUAAAGCUCUUUUGUCAGGGACGAUAAUGACGGUACCGGAAGAAUAAGCCCCGGCUAACUUCGUG
rnacentral:rRNA from 1 species